ACCUAGAUGAACAUCGGUGGUCCGGUGUGGGGGCUUCAAACCAGUAGCUGAUAGGAAUUAGAGUGGUUCAAUUCCACUUUCUAGGCG